CCCUGCCAUUUGUACACACCGCCCGUCGCACCUACCGAUUGAAUGGUCCGGUGAAAUCUUUGGACUACGACUUUGUCUCGUUUAUUCAAGACGCUGUUGUGGGAAAUUGAUUAAACCUUACCAUUUAG
rnacentral:rRNA from 1 species